rnacentral:rRNA from 1 species
UGGGGAAUCUUGGACAAUGGGGGCAACCCUGAUCCAGCCAUGCCGCGUGAGUGAUGAAGGCCUUAGGGUCGUAAAGCUCUUUCGCCUGUGAAGAUAAUGACGGUAGCAGGUAAAGAAACCCCGGCUAACUCCGUGCCAGCAGCCGCGGUAAUACGGAGGGGGUUAGCGUUGUUCGGAAUUACUGGGCGUAAAGCGCACGUAGGCGGACCAGAAAGUUGGGGGUGAAAUCCCGGGGGCUCAACCCCGGAACUGCCUCCAAAACUAUUGGUCUAGAGUUCGAGAGAGGUGAGUGGAAUUCCAAGUGUAGAGGUGAAAUUCGUAGAUAUUUGGAGGAACACCAGUGGCGAAGGCGGCUCACUGGCUCGAUACUGACGCUGAGGUGCGAAAGUGUGGGGAGCAAACAGGAUUAGAUACCCUGGUAGUCCACGCCGUAAACGAUGAGUGCUAGUCGUCGGCAGGCAUGCCUGUCGGUGACGCAGCUAACGCAUUAAGGCACUCCGCCUGGGGAGUACGGCCGCAGGUUAAAAC